rnacentral:lncRNA from 1 species
UCCUGUCACUGUCCUGGAAUCUGGAAGUCUGAAAAUCAGGGCAAUGCUCCCUCUGAAGGCUCUAGUGAAGGAUCCUGCCUGGCCUAAUUCUAGUUUCCGGUGGUGGCUGGCAACCCUUGGUUCUCCUUGGCUUACAGACAAAUCACUCCAUCUCUGCCUCCAUCGUCAUCACAUCAUGUUCUCCCUCUGUGUCUGAGUCUCUGUGCCCAAAUUUCCCUCUUUUUUUUUUUUUUUUUUUUUUUUUUUGAGACAGAAUCUUACUCUGUCACCCAGGCUGGAGUGCAGAGGUGCGAUCUUGGCUCACUGCAACCUUCACCUCCCUGGUUUAAUUGAUUCUCCUGCCUCAGCCUCCUGAGUGGCUGGGACUACAGGCAUGCACCACCAUGACCAGCUAAUUUUUGUAUUUUUAGUAGAGACGGGGUUUUCCCAAGUUGGCCAGGCUGGUCUUGAACUCCUGACAUCAGGUGAUCCACCCGCCUCAGCCUCCCAAAGUGCUGGGAUUACAGGCAUGAGCCACCAG